rnacentral:rRNA from 1 species
AUACGUAGGGGGCGAGCGUUGUCCGGAAUGAUUGGGCGUAAAGGGCGCGUAGGCGGCGCGGUAAGUCUGGAGUGAAAGUCCUGCUUUCAAGGUGGGAAUUGCUUUGGAUACUGCCGCGCUUGAGUGCAGGAGAGGUUAUCGGAAUUCCCGGUGUAGCGGUGAAAUGCGUAGAGAUCGGGAGGAACACCAGUGGCGAAAGCGGGUCACUGGACGGCAACUGGUGCUGAGCCGCGCAAGUGUAGGGAGCAACCAGGAUUAGAUACGCAGGUAGUCCACUGUGUAAACGAGGAUUACUAGGUGUGGGGGGACUGCCCCUUUCCGUGCCGCAGUUAAAACAAUAAGUAAUCCCCCUGGGGACGACGGCCGCAACGUGGAAACUCAAAGGGAUUGCCGGGG